UACGGGGGGGGCAAGCGUUGUUCGGAAUUACUGGGCGUAAAGGGCUCGUAGGCGGCCAACUAAGUCAGACGUGAAAUCCCUCGGCUUAACCGGGGAACUGCGUCUGAUACUGGAUGGCUUGAGUUUGGGAGAGGGAUGCGGAAUUCCAGGUGUAGCGGUGAAAUGCGUAGAUAUCUGGAGGAACACCGGUGGCGAAGGCGGGAUCCUGGGCCAACACUGACGCUGAGGGGGCGAAAGGCAGGGGAGAAAACGGG
rnacentral:rRNA from 1 species